GAAAUGCGAUAAGUAAUGUGAAUUGCAGAAUUCAGUGAAUCAUCGAAUCUUUGAACGCACAUUGCGCCCCUUGGUAUUCCGGGGGGCAUGCCUGUUCGAGCGUCAUUACAACCCUCAAGCUCUGCUUGGAAUUGGGCACCGUCCUCACUGCGGACGCGCCUCAAAGACCUCGGCGGUGGCUGUUCAGCCCUCAAGCGUAGUAAAAUACACCUCGCUUUGGAGCGGUUGGCGUCGCCCGCCGGACGAACCUUCUGAACUUUUCUCAAGGUUGACCUCGGAUCAGGUAGGGAUACCCGCUGAACUUAAGC
rnacentral:misc_RNA from 1 species